rnacentral:rRNA from 1 species
GACGAACGCUGGCGGCGUGCUUAACACAUGCAAGUCGAACGGAGAGGCCCUGCUUUUGUGGGGUGCUCGAGUGGCGAACGGGUGAGUAACACGUGAGUAACCUGCCCUUGACUUUGGGAUAACUUCAGGAAACUGGGGCUAAUACCGGAUAGGAGCUCCUGCUGCAUGGUGGGGGUUGGAAAGUUUCGGCGGUUGGGGAUGGACUCGCGGCUUAUCGGCUUGUUGGUGGGGUAGUGGCUUACCAAGGCUUUGACGGGUAGCCGGCCUGAGAGGGUGACCGGCCACAUUGGGACUGAGAUACGGCCCAGACUCCUACGGGAGGCAGCAGUGGGGAAUAUUGCACAAUGGGCGGAAGCCUGAUGCAGCAACGCCGCGUGCGGGAUGACGGCCUUCGGGUUGUAAACCGCUUUCGCCUGUGACGAAGCGUGAGUGACGGUAAUGGGUAAAGAAGCACCGGCUAACUACGUG